CUGAGCCACCAGGGAGGAGAAAGGGGAGGUAACCAGGGAUCAGAGGCUGUCCUUGGCCGCAGCUCUCCCCAGCACCUCCCACGCGGCCCAGAACCGGAGCUGCCAGCGGAAGUCGAUGGAAGGAAGGAACUUCCAGGAGUCCCCACCGGAGGACAGGCCACCCGGCCUCUCAGCGACCCCUGGGUUCCAGCCCUUCCCCGUCCAUACGCUCACCCCAGGCGAGUCCUUCUGUGGCACAUGACAAGCCCCCAGGGCCAAAGCUACCGGCACCACCUCCCACAGGAGCAGGCUCACAGGGCAUGUCUGCGUGGGGUCUGAGUGAUUCCUAGCAGGUGGGGUCGCCCAGAACAGCUGGGAACAUCUGGAUGACAGAGGGGUGGUCAGGAGCGCAAAGUGCCCAGUCAAAAUGGCCCGUCAGCAGAGCUGCAGCCGGCAGGGCCUGGAGACAUCAAACCUGCCAGCUAAAACGCCCCAUGAAUAUUUAACAGCCGUCAAUAUUUAAUUAGUGCAGACAGAUUAACUCGGAAGUCACACACACUUGGGCUGGAGGGAGGGGGAGCGUUGGAAGCAGGGGUUGGGCUCGAGGGAGAGGCCGUGUUUAUUGCGUGGGGUCCGAAAGGCUGCCCACCUUCGCUCCCCGCUGCCCCCAGCCACCUCCCCCCGCAGGAAGCAAGCGACACUGAGAAAAGUCCUAGGGAAAGGGACACCGGGAGAAGCCCAGGGGAAAGGAGAGGUUUGGGUAAGGUGGGGUGAGGGCAGUGCUGGGCACCCCCGUGUCAGCAGCCACCUGGACCCCAGCCCAGCUUCCCAGGAGCAGGUGUCAGUGUGUAAUUACCUCUGCGCCGUUGGCCUUCCCAGAUUAUGCUGUUGUUUAUUGCAUCCGCAACGCUACCCUGAGUCUUUUAUCCCCUUUGAGUUUCUUUGAGUUUUAUCACCUCUUGUGCCACGUUUUUAUUUAAUAGAGUUUCCCUGAACUUCAUCAUCUGACAAUAAAUUGCUGUCGUUGA